rnacentral:rRNA from 1 species
GAUUCAGGAUAACUAAACGAAUCGCAUGGCCUUGCGCCGGCGAUGGUUCAUUCAAAUUUCUGCCCUAUCAACUUUCGAUGGUAAGGUAGUGGCUUACCAUGGUUUCAACGGGUAACGGGGGAUUAGGGUUCUAUUCCGGAGAGGGAGCCUGAGAAACGGCUACCACAUCCAAGGAAGGCAGCAGGCGCGCAAAUUACCCAAUCCCAAUACGGGGAGGUAGUGACAAUAAAUACUGAUACGGGGCUCUUUCGGGUCUCGUAAUUGGAAUGAGUACAAUCUAAAUCCCUUAACGAGGAACAAUUGGAGGGCAAGUCUGGUGCCAGCAGCCGCGGUAAUUCCAGCUCCAAUAGCGUAUAUUAAAGUUGUUGCCGUUAAAAAGCUCGUAGUUGAACCUUGGACCUGGCUGAUCUGUCCUCCUAAUCGAGCGUACGGAUUCGGUCGGGUCUUUCCUCCUGGGGAACCCUAUGUCCUUCAUUGGGUGUGGUGGGGAACCAGGACUUUUAC